AAGGGAGCUUGCUCCCGGAUUCAGCGGCGGACGGGUGAGUAAUGCCUAGGAAUCUGCCUGGUAGUGGGGGACAACGUUUCGAAAGGAACGCUAAUACCGCAUACGUCCUACGGGAGAAAGCAGGGGACCUUCGGGCCUUGCGCUAUCAGAUGAGCCUAGGUCGGAUUAGCUAGUUGGUGAGGUAAUGGCUCACCAAGGCGACGAUCCGUAACUGGUCUGAGAGGAUGAUCAGUCACACUGGAACUGAGACACGGUCCAGACUCCUACGGGAGGCAGCAGUGGGGAAUAUUGGACAAUGGGCGAAAGCCUGAUCCAGCCAUGCCGCGUGUGUGAAGAAGGUCUUCGGAUUGUAAAGCACUUUAAGUUGGGAGGAAGGGUUGUAGAUUAAUACUCUGCAAUUUUGACGUUACCGACAGAAUAAGCACCGGCUAACUCUGUGCCAGCAGCCGCGGUAAUACAGAGGGUGCAAGCGUUAAUCGGAAUUACUGGGCGUAAAGCGCGCGUAGGUGGUUCGUUAAGUUGGAUGUGAAAUCCCCGGGCUCAACCUGGGAACUGCAUCCAAAACUGGCGAGCUAGAGUAUGGUAGAGGGUGGUGGAAUUUCCUGUGUAGCGGUGAAAUGCGUAGAUAUAGGAAGGAACACCAGUGGCGAAGGCGACCACCUGGACUGAUACUGACACUGA
rnacentral:rRNA from 1 species